UCUCUCUCUUCCUUUUUCCAACUCUUACAUAAGCUAUCUCUCCUUUCUUCUUCCUCCAAAAUGCAAAAGUCAACUCUAAGAACCAUAAUUUUUUCAUCCAACUGCACUACAAACCACUAGCCCAAAUUGUUGACUGAAGGUUAGAUAAAUAUCACCAUAAUUUAAUCUGAAUCGAAAGAUAUCAUAUCGAAUCCGGACUUUUAGGGGAAAAUGUCUUAAUUCUAGGAGUUUGGUGCCCUCCUUGAGAUUGUCGUAUUAUGAUUUCCCCUCUAAUGUGUUGCCUACUAUAAUUUGUACGAAGGUAACCAGGAUCAUCAUCUGGCGCACCGUUGAUCCAGUUUAUCACUCCAGAGUAAGUUGGUGAAUCUCCUAGCGUUACGGAUGACUCCUUGUAUCGAUUUUUUUCAGUAUUUUUUUAUUAGGAUGUUGUGGGGUCUGGCCCAACAUUCAUAUCAGUUUUAGAGGAUUCUUAGAUAAACAAUCACAUGUUAGUCAUUGAGUUCAUCUCCUGUAGUUUAUAAGACUUGGGUUGCCACUUUUGGCCAGUUGAAUUGUUUUAAAUGUCUACAACGUUCACAUUUAGUAUGUUUUAUUAGUUCAAUUAAGCUUUUAUCAUUAUAGUUAUUGAUAAUUGUCUUCCACUGAGUUAACUUAGCCAAGACAAGGGUACGCUCAAGGACAUCAAUGGUCAUUGAGCGUCGGUCACGCCCAGGGUGUAGGCUCGUGCCGUGACAAGUGAAUAGAAUCGUUCUAUCCUAAUAGGAUUUAUUCCUUUAAACCUCGGGUACUAGAGGGUAAUAGUUUCCUUAAGGAGACAUUGUACAUUCAGUGAGAUCAGUUUUUUCCUUUAUUUUUCAUGCUAUCAUCAUAGAUCCUGGUAUA